rnacentral:rRNA from 1 species
CAAGUCGAACGGUGAACACGGAGCUUGCUCUGUGGGAUCAGUGGCGAACGGUUGAGUAACACGUGAGCAACCUGCCCCUGACUCUGGGAUAAGCGCUGGAAACGGCGUCUAAUACUGGAUACGAACCACGAAGGCAUCUUCAGUGGUUGGAAAGAAUUUCGGUUGGGGAUGGGCUCGCGGCCUAUCAGCUUGUUGGUGAGGUAAUGGCUCACCAAGGCGUCGACGGGUAGCCGGCCUGAGAGGGUGACCGGCCACACUGGGACUGAGACACGGCCCAGACUCCUACGGGAGGCAGCAGUGGGGAAUAUUGCACAAUGGGCGCAAGCCUGAUGCAGCAACGCCGCGUGAGGGAUGACGGCCUUCGGGUUGUAAACCUCUUUUAGCAGGGAAGAAGCGAAAGUGACGGUACCUGCAGAAAAAGCGCCGGCUAACUACGUGCCAGCAGCCGCGGUAAUACGUAGGGCGCAAGCGUUAUCCGGAAUUAUUGGGCGUAAAGAGCUCGUAGGCGGUUUGUCGCGUCUGCUGUGAAAUCCGGAGGCUCAACCUCCGGCCUGCAGUGGGUACGGGCAGACUAGAGUGCGGUAGGGGAGAUUGGAAUUCCUGGUGUAGCGGUGGAAUGCGCAGAUAUCAGGAGGAACACCGAUGGCGAAGGCAGAUCUCUGGGCCGUAACUGACGCUGAGGAGCGAAAGGGUGGGGAGCAAACAGGCUUAGAUACCCUGGUAGUCCACCCCGUAAACGUUGGGAACUAGUUGUGGGGUCCAUUCCACGGAUUCCGUGACGCAGCUAACGCAUUAAGUUCCCCGCCUGGGGAGUACGGCCGCAAGGCUAAAACUCAAAGGAAUUGACGGGGACCCGCACAAGCGGCGGAGCAUGCGGAUUAAUUCGAUGCAACGCGAAGAACCUUACCAAGGCUUGACAUAUACGAGAACGGGCCAGAAAUGGUCAACUCUUUGGACACUCGUAAACAGGUGGUGCAUGGUUGUCGUCAGCUCGUGUCGUGAGAUGUUGGGUUAAGUCCCGCAACGAGCGCAACCCUCGUUCUAUGUUGCCAGCACGUAAUGGUGGGAACUCAUGGGAUACUGCCGGGGUCAACUCGGAGGAAGGUGGGGAUGACGUCAAAUCAUCAUGCCCCUUAUGUCUUGGGCUUCACGCAUGCUACAAUGGCCGGUACAAAGGGCUGCAAUACCGCGAGGUGGAGCGAAUCCCAAAAAGCCGGUCCCAGUUCGGAUUGAGGUCUGCAACUCGACCUCAUGAAGUCGGAGUCGCUAGUAAUCGCAGAUCAGCAA